UUAUUGUUCUUGUUGUUCAUUUAAUUUCUGAUUUUUUAAUUUUAUUGUUCUUGUUGUUCAUUUUUUGUUAUAUCUAUUAGUGAGGUGUUCUGGCCUUACCAGCUUUGGCUAUGCUCAGUUCUGAUCAGGGUUGUGGUUGUAGUACCAUGAGCAACAAUUGAGUUGAUUUGGUUACCUUAUUCAUGCUCGUGGUUUCUUUUCGUGUUAUUAAUUGUGCUUGGUUUUUUUCAGGCUGCUGUGUUGUUGCUGGUCUGCCUUUGUGACUGUUUGUUGUUUGUUGAGCAUUUAAAAUGUAUGGCUUUGUCUAUAAUGCUCUAUUAGUCUUCAAAUAUACAGAAUGCUAUCCUUUGUUCUAUCAGCUGCAUUGUUCUCUCAUUAGUGUUUCUGUUUAUGUGGGUUAAUGCUGAAUGCUAGCAGGGUUUUUUUAUUUAAGUUUGGGUUUUGUUUUGUUGCAAAAGUGCAAGUGCAUUCAGAUAGGAGUUGUCUAAUAGUGUUUAGUAUAUUUUAGGACUGAAUUGUAGAUGGACUACCUCAGCUUAGAGCAUGUAGUACUAGCUAGGGUCUGUCCUGUGCUGCUGCUGUUCUAAUGUCUGGCCAGAUCUGCUAGAUGUUUUGUUGCAAAAGUGCAAGUGCAUUCAGAUAGGAGUUGUAUAACUUUUAUUCUUCUUUGUCUUCCGGUUUUACAUCAAGUACAAAUGCUCCACCCUCCAUCCCAGCUGUUAUCGAAAAUUCAAAUAGUCACUUGGAUGAUGAUAUAUUCAAGUAUGUUGAUAAUGAUGAUGAUGAGGAGGAUGACACAUCAAAUCGGCCAUCGAUGGAGAUUGAUUCUUAUUUGUGUACUCCUCGACAACCAAUUUAUGAAGGGCAGAAGUACGAUGUUCUUAAGUAUUGGGAAUCUCAAAGUAGUGUGUACCCCAUAUUAGCUGUUAUGGCUAGGGAUGUUUUGGCCAUUCCUAUUACAUCGGUAGCCUCAGAGUCUUCUUUUAGCAUGGGUGGUCGUAUUUUAAACAAGUAUAGGAGUGCGCUUUUGCCUAAGAAUGUUGAGGCGUUGGUGACCACACAAAAUUGGUUACGUGGUUAUGAUUGUGAUAUUGAAGAAGACGUCCUUGAAAUUGGUAAAGAAGUGAUAGAUGAAAGUUUUGCAUCUAAUUAAGAAGACAUGGAUGUUGUAUUGUAGUGAACUAGUGAUGCUUAAUAUAUAUUGUGUUGCUUCAUUGCUAAAAUGUUUUAAUCUCAUAGAACAAGUAUUAAUAGUUUUAGUCACAUUACAUAUUGAUAUGUUGUUCCUUUUUUUA